AUGUGCCAGGAAUCGCAGCAAUGCGCCAAGAAAAGCAAUGGAAGAAGAAGACCUCAUCAGGUUUUUAAACAUGGAUGUAAACACUGCAGGUUUCAUAAUCCAUUUUGGAAGAAGAAAAUGACACAGGAGCCAGAGUCAGAGCUGACUUAAAGAGGAACACCACACUAAACUAAUUUCUUUAUUCUUUUUGGCAUAUGAUGUUAAUACAGAUGAUUUUUUUCCAACAAAAAAUGCUUUUUCUGCUCAAAACUAACGUGUAUGUCUCUGCACUAUAAUUGCUAUAUAAGCUAUAUUGUACAGUAUUUGUCAACAAUUAAAACAUCUCCUAUAAAGACAUAUUUUAUAUUACUGCAGCUGUGUUUUACCAUAUUGUCGUUCAUUACUUGUUUAUACACCAGCCUUCACAGGAGUUAUGUGUUUAAAAAAUACAUUAUUAAAUACUUUGUACAACUACAUUAUAGUGUGUUAUAAACCAUUUAUUAAACAUUUAUAUACUGCUCAUAAAUGCUAAAAUAGGGGGAGUUAAAGUACUGUAAAGUGUUGCCUGUGAGAGGUGUAU